rnacentral:rRNA from 1 species
AUUGAACGCUGGCGGCAGGCCUAACACAUGCAAGUCGGACGGUAGCACAGAGAGCUUGCUCUCGGGUGACGAGUGGCGGACGGGUGAGUAAUGUCUGGGGAUCUGCCCGAUAGAGGGGGAUAACCACUGGAAACGGUGGCUAAUACCGCAUAACGUCGCAAGACCAAAGAGGGGGACCUUCGGGCCUCUCACUAUCGGAUGAACCCAGAUGGGAUUAGCUAGUAGGCGGGGUAACGGCCCACCUAGGCGACGAUCCCUAGCUGGUCUGAGAGGAUGACCAGCCACACUGGAACUGAGACACGGUCCAGACUCCUACGGGAGGCAGCAGUGGGGAAUAUUGCACAAUGGGCGCAAGCCUGAUGCAGCCAUGCCGCGUGUAUGGAGAAGGCCUUCGGGUUGUAAAGUACUUUCAGCGGGGAGGAAGGCGAUGUGGUUAAUAACCGCAUUGAUUGACGUUACCCGCAGAAGAAGCACCGGCUAACUCCGUGCCAGCAGCCGCGGUAA